AGAAAAGUAAUUAAAAAAUAAUUUUACCUUGUCAAGGUAAAUUUGCUAAAAAUUUAGCCAUUUCUA
rnacentral:tRNA from 1 species